rnacentral:rRNA from 1 species
ACGAACGCUGGCGGCGUGCCUAAUACCUGCAAGUAGAACGCACAGUUUAUACCGUAGCUUGCUACACCAUAAACUGUGAGUUGCGAACGGGUGAGUAACGCGUAGGUAACCUGCCUGGUAGCGGGGGAUAACUAUUGGAAACGAUAGCUAAUACCGCAUAAUAUUAAUUAUUGCAUGAUAAUUGAUUGAAAGAUGCAAUUGCAUCACUACCAGAUGGACCUGCGUUGUAUUAGCUAGUAGGUGAGGUAACGGCUCACCUAGGCGACGAUACAUAGCCGACCUGAGAGGGUGAUCGGCCACACUGGGACUGAGACACGGCCCAGACUCCUACGGGAGGCAGCAGUAGGGAAUCUUCGGCAAUGGACGAAAGUCUGACCGAGCAACGCCGCGGGAGUGAAGAAGGUUGUCGGAUCGUAAAGCUCGGUUGUAAGAGAAGAACGGGUGUGAGAGUGGAAAGUUCACACUGUGACGGUAUCUUACCAGAAAGGGACGGCUAACUACGUG